rnacentral:rRNA from 1 species
AGGGCACCACCAGGAGUGGAGCCUGCGGCUUAAUUUGACUCAACACAGGAAAACUUACCCGGCCCGGACACUGGAAGGAUUGACAGAUUGAGAGCUCUUUCUUGAUUCAGUGGGUGGUGGUGCAUGGCCGUUCUUAGUUGGUGGAGCGAUUUGUCUGGUUAAUUCCGAUAACGAACGAGACUCUAGCCUACUAAAUAGACUGUUCAGCUUUAUAGCCGGAAUCACCGGGCAUGUAGCUCUCACGGGUUGCAUGUUCGGCUCUGGUGACGUUGGCAGUGCUUCUUAGAGGGACAGGCGGCGGUUCAGCCGCACGAAACAGAGCAAUAACAGGUCUGUGAUGCCCUUAGAUGUCCGGGGCUGCACGCGCGCUACACUGAAGUGAUCAGCGUGCAAUUUACGUUUGGUGAUCUGUCAAGAUUGCCCAACCCAUUGAACCUUCUUCGUGAUUGGGAUAGGGGAUUGUAAUUAUUCCCCUUGAACGAGGAAUUCCCAGUAAGCGCAAGUCAUAAGCUUGCGUUG